rnacentral:rRNA from 1 species
GACGAACGCUGGCGGCGUGCUUAACACAUGCAAGUCGAACGAAGGGGCGAACGGGUGAGUAAUACGUGGGUAACCUGCCCUCCUUUUUGGGAUAAGCAUUGGAAACGGGGUCUAAUACCGAAUAAAGGGGGAUGGGCUCGCGGCCUAUCGGCUUGUUGGUGGGGUGAUGGCCUACCAAGGCGGUGACGGGUAGCCGGCCUGAGAGGGUGACCGGCCACGUUGAGCCGGUGAUGCGCCCCAGCCUCCUACGGGGGGCAGCAGUGGGGGAUAUUGCACAAUGGGUGACAGCCUUAUGCAGCGUCGCCGCUUGGGGGAUGAGGGCUUUCGUGUUGUAAACCUCUUUCACUAUCUAUCCGGUAGGUAAUGAAAAAGCCCCGGCUAACUACGUGCCAGCCGCCGCGGUAAUAC